AGGGCAAGGAAGGGAAGGGUGCUUUGCUCUGGCUGCAGGGAGCUCGAUGGGCUGCAUUUGCUAGCUCUGGGAGCUAAAGGACCUGAGAGCUCUAGACCUAAGGGAAUGAACGGAGGUGAAGCAGCCCAGGGACUGUAACAGCUGCCAAGUAAAGGAAGCAGCAGGUGGCUGCUGUCUGUAGGGUUGCUGGGUUGGGAUCUGCAGUAGUGGGAGGGCCUAGGUCUCCCCACCAACUAGUGCUGGAGUGGCCCAAGCCCUGGAAAGGGGACUUGGCUAGUUUAAAAGCCCAAGAAAUGGGUCUAGAUUUAAAGGGUCCCAGAGACAGGGCUGAAGGCCCUGGGUAAGGUAGACAAACAGUUUUGUCAGGACUCCUUUGUAAACCACAAAGAGGGGAUAAGUUUCCUUUCGAAGCCCUAGCAAAGGGCUGGGAGCCCAAGAGGGGCUGGAGAGAGAAGAUCUCCUCAGGAAGAAAGGGCUGAGUCCAGCUUGAGCCAGGGAUCGGAAGACUUUUGUUUGGUUUUUUUUCUGGACUUGAAUGCCCUGCAAGGAUUUCAUCCAUAUUGACUGUGAGAUUUGGCUGGAGGGCUGAGCCAGUGAAGACCCGCUUAAGGGCGUUGACAAACCUACAUGGGUUGUGGGGAGAAAAAAAGAUUGCAGCACCACACCCAGCUGACAGGAGGCACUCAUGAGAGGCGUUAUACUCCUGAGUCUGAUGUAUUCACCCACGAUCAACAUGAAUAUUCAAUCAAGAUUAGAAAACACUUACCAACCUUUGUGAGGAAGAAGUUCAGCUGUGGUACUUCCUCUUGUGCUGAAAAAGAUCUUUCCAUUGUGUGUACAUGGCUAUGAUAGGAUAUGCUAGUUAUAUUAAUGUAAAUGAAGGACCGUAACAGGGUUGUAUAACGAAGCUUAUAUAACACAUAAGAAUAGAAUUCUGAACAAAGCUUUGUACUUUUAUGCCACCUUUUUGCAAGGAGUUCUCAAUUUUACAAAGCAUAAAAAAGCCAGGAUUCUUGUUGGAGUAGCACAACCACCUUUUUCAGAUGGAUUAAUUGAGUCACAGAGCAAGGUUAUGUUUAGCAGAAGUGUUGAACACCUGCUACUCCCUCGGAGAUCAAUGGGAGAUGUGGGUUUUCAGAAAAUCAGGUCUAAAUGACUUGUUCAGGACAAGUCACGGCACAUUUCUGCCAGAGCUGGAAAUAGAACCCAGGAGUCCUGACCUCCAGUUCUUGAUGUGAACAAAUAGGCCAUUUUUCUCUCACUGUCAGCAGUAGAAUGACCUUCUGCCAAAGAAAGACAAACUUAAUCUAGUUCUUAGGAAAACUGUAAAAAUAAUGAAUUCUGUUAAUAACUGGGACAAUUUGCUGAAAAAGGCUAUUGAAGCAUCAUCAAUAGAAUGGACUAGAUACAACACUUCAGGUCUGAUUCACCUCCACAUACACUGAGGCAAACCAGGAGUCACUCUGUCCAGCUGGUGUAAAUGAGAGAAGAUUGAGGCCCAUAGAGGUUUAGGAGAGGAGAGUCCCUCACAUGAGAUAAACAGAGCGGCCCUUCCAAGCCCUGCCGAGAAUGUGUUUUGCUCAGCUGAAUCACCACAAAGGGCUUUUCUCCUUCAGCAUGACUGGCGCACAGUACAUACGUUCUCAUCCAGUGGGUAACACAGACAUUGUCCUUCCUCUUGUGCCGAAGAAGGGUCCCUGCGGGUGCAACUGGUUGCUGGAAAAGAAACUAGUCUCUUUGAAGAGAGUCAGCGCAAGAAUCGCAUAACUGUGUGUGUAUGUCAGAAAUCACUGCACUGCUCUUUAUGAAGAUAUCAACACACUUACAUUGUAAAUUGGCACAUUAUAUGCUUCAUUAGGAUACAAUAUCAGAAUGGCAAACUGAACCAGCAGCAAUAUGGUCUGAGCAUCUGUGCAGCAGCUAGAAAAUGGCUGACGACGGGCAUAUGCAGUUUGUGUCAGCAGCUCCUUCUGGUCCGUGGCUGGAAAUUUUAUAAACCACUCUGGCAGCUUUACCUUUGGAAAGGGGUCACGGGUAAUAGCAACCCUCAGACCCUUCCCUAGGUGUGUGUCAUAAUCCCAGGUCUUCUACAAUCCAGUCUUGGCUACUUGCUGUUGCCACCAAGUUUCUCCUUCUGCUCCCUUGUUACAAUGACCCUGCCCACAGGAGCGGGGGUGCCCUGGGAGGUAGGGUAGGUGUUCUUUGAAGGCUGUUGCAGAAAUCCCCAUUCACCACAGCUCUACUCCAGACUGGCAUCAUCUGGCAGUGCCUCCCCUGCCUCUAUAAGGCCUGGAAAGUCUUAUUUCAUAUCCCAAUUCAGGCUUCCUUUUCAUAAGCCAUGGAGACUGAUGUUCUCCCAGUCUAGUCUUACCCCUACCCUGGCAGCAGCCUGGCCCGCUGCUAUCCCUGAUGGACCAGUCUCUGGGGGCUGAAGAGACCUUUUUUUAGCAACUUCUGCAAUCCCAGACCAAACCACUUCCAGCUAGCCGAUCUCCACACUCCACCCCCUAAUGGUGCACCGCUAACUUUCCAACACACGUUCCGGAGGGGGUGAGGGUGGGGCUCAUACCAAUCCCAAGGACCCUCCGAGAGUCCCUAGGUUUCAAACCACUACCUCAGGUCCACAUAUCUUACCUCCCACAUACCUCAUGUUUAAAAGAAUAUUAAUGCAACACCUAGCCUACUGUUCUUCACAGUGUGUGAUACCUGUGGAUGUUUGUCUAAUAGAAUUUUCAAUACUGUAUUGAGAUAUCAGCCAGCAUCAGGCCUAGGCAAAUUCCCGCCCGGGUGGAUAGGAGUGUAGGUGGGGACAUCUGGGAGAGGGAUAGAGACAAAGCUGUCUUAAUUCUGAGGCAGAGAUCCCUUCAUUUCCACAGUGGGAUUCCCUUCACAGCAGGUGCAUUUUAAACCAGAGUAUGAGCUGUGAGUUGGAUUGUAUGAACUAAGAUUAUCCCAAACUGACACACAUUAGAACCUGAAUCAGAAGGGCCCGAAGUUCUGCAGGGUCACCAUGGUUCUGAUUCUUCACCCUUAGUCACAAUGAAUAGUGCCUACUCACACAAGCCAUCCCAUUGCAUACUGGGGGAUCAUUUGUAUAGAUGCAAGUCGAGUGAUUGUUGCAGCAGCAGACCGAAGCCUUAGGAGACAGUCCCCUUUUCUUUUCAAAACGAACGUCCAAUCCUGUAACUUUAUCUGAUUCUUAUUCACCAGGAACAAAUAGUGCAAAUGCCAUCAGCUGGCACAAACCUACAAUAAUUCAUUCAUUGGCUCCAGGGAGUGGGGGCUGACUACUGUGAUGGUUUUCAGGAUUGUGGCCUCAGACAGUAAAUGAAGCAGAGACAUUAAGUUAUAGUGUAGUUACCCACACUGGAAUUUGCUUAGGAUAUUGAGUCUAACAAGCCUACUGUUGGGAAAACUUAGGAUCUUUAAUACCACCAGUGUGAGGGACCCAUCACUGGUCCUGUCCCUGUGUCCUGUGGACAACUUCUCCAUAGGAUAGGAGGUUAGCAAUCCACUGGAAAAAAAAAUCUUCAGACUCUUAGAAUGGGGCGUCAGAACUUGUGCUCAUUUAUCCCUGUUCCUGGCUUUCACACUGAGGAGCAAGCUAAAGUGUUUGCACAUUAUUACGACUGCUAUUGAAACUCAAUUACUUUAUAUUGCUUUUGAAUGGCAGGAAGACUUUGCACUGUGUUAGGUCCUUCAUAGCAUUAAGUGGCAGGUAUUGUCAAGGCAAUGCUGCAUGUCCUAAAAGGGAUAAAUCAAAAUUACAAUUAUUGAGAUAAAGGAUAACUCUCAGCAACUGCAAUAGGUUUGAGGAAAGCAAAAAAGAAAUGAAAGGUAUAAAUUAAAUCUCCGUAAUGAUGAGGAAUUUGCAUGAUAUCAAACAGUGAGAUACCCUAUUAGCCAGUAAAUAACCCUGUUGCUGGUUACCUUAGGGAGCCAUGUUUGCAUUUUAUGGCAAUUAUUUCUUGUCUCGGGGCAUCUACUGAGAGAGAAAAAUAAUCACAAAUAGAAAGUUAACAAUAAAUUUUUAUAAUUAAAUUUCAAGAUGAAUUGAGACUUUGUAGACAUAAACCCUUUGAUUUGUGCUAGAGCCAUAACAUUUUGCUAGCAUGAUACCACCUAAUUUAUGGAAAUGUUGCUAAUUAUGGACAUUUUCGUACAAAUGAUACAAACAAAACUGACAAAGUAGCAAGGAGUGUUUUGAUACUCUACAGAUGUGGUCAUAUUGUUCCUGAUGACCUCUGAGGUUAGUCUGAAAAAUGCCACUAUCAUUUUUAAGAAGGGGAAAAAUACCUGGGAAAUAGAAAAUAAAAACAUGAACGUAAUAUGAAGUUUUAAAGGUUUUUUAUUAUUAUUGUAGUAAGGCCUACAAGACUCAAUCAAGAUCAGACCCCAUGGUGCUAAAUGUACACUUAGUAAGAGACAGCAUCUACCCUGAAGAGAUUACAAUUUCAGGAGACAAGACAAACCAAGCAUAGGAGAAAAGUCCAUUUUAGGGUUGGGAACUCAGGAACAUUGAAGUUCCAUCUCUUGUCCUGUGUAACACGAGAAGUCUGUGGUUGAGCAGUAGAUUGAAGCCAGAUCUCAGUCCAGUGCCUUAACUUGAAAGUGUAGUAAACCACGCCACACUUGGGGACUUUUACUGUGCUCUAGCAGUGUCCAGAUGGGAUGGUAAUGAGCAGCAGACUGCCGCACUGCAGAUUCACGCUCUGACUUGCUGUGUGGUCAUGGUCCAUUAGACAGACCAUUACACUGUAAACCCCUGGAACAAGGACUGUCUUUUUGUGCUGUGUUUGUACAGUGCCUA